AAACUGUCCAGAACUGGCAGUGAGGAACCAGGGGAAUGCCAGCCUUCCUCAUGACCCCAUAGUAUACGGAGAGGUGGCUGAAUUGAAGAGUAUGCAUCUGAUCCAACUGUGAGAAUAGCUCUUGCUGGCCAAAUGGGACAGAGGUAAGAAAAGCAGCCGAGAAGGGGUUUGUGAGCACGUGACUGAGGCCCGCACUGAGAACCAGGGAGGUGCAUUCACAGAGCUGCCAUUCUCAGACUAUGAUCAGAGCGCUGGGAAGAGAAAGCAAGACUGAGAGUUGAAAUGACUUUGUGAAGUUGAGAAGCGUUCGCAAAGUUUGGCCCUGACUCUGGCUGCUGACAUCAUCCUGUCGCAGAAGCCACUUUGUCCACCUGCUGGUCAGCCAUGGUGAAGGCAUGCUGGAGCCUCACCUCUAGGUGGAUUUGCUGGGUGGUGGGUAAAGUAGGGAGGAUGAAUUUGUGACUUCCUCCUGCCCACUGAACACCUUGCUGAACACCCCGCACACUCUCCAGGUCACCGAGAUGAGACCUCAGGGAAAAAUCAGCCAAGUCCAUAGAGUCUCAAGGACUCCCGGGGAAGACAAGCAACUGCAACCCAAGGGUGGUUCAAUGGAGCUUGUUUCUGCUGAAAAUCGGUCCUUGUUUAUUGUUGUGUCAUUAUUGAUGAAGACUUGUAGGAAAAGAUCCUGAAAUAUUUAUACCUUAAUAUACUAAAACUAAAAAAAUAAUAUUGAUUCUUAGGAACGAGCUAGAGAAGAGGACGAGUUUAGAGUGAUGAAUCAGUAUUUGGGGUCUGCCAAAAAUGCCAAAUAUUAACUCUCCCUGAACCAGGGUGUGGCGGAGACUGGUGCAUUAGGAACGACGGUAGGAAUGGGGUGCUAGUCCUUGUUUUCCCAGCUUCUUGUAAAUAAAGAAUUCUUACACAGCCAGAGAAAUCCCCAUGGAAUUUGGCAAAGAAUUAAAGAGAUCUGUUUCACACCUUUAGCUUUCUCUGAGUAGAAAAGUUUACAGAAAAUUCCUUCUUUGUUAAUCAUUUAAGCAACAUCUCCACCAGUUUAGAAUAGCUUGAAAAAGAAGAAUUCAUAGUUCUGUUGUCAUGAGGCCAGAUGGCCAGGGGUUCGAUUCUGACGGUGCGCCUUCUGACUGUCGCUGAGUGACCUUGAAAAAUGUUAUUAAACCUCUUUGGGCUUCAAUCUCCUCAUCUAUAACAUGGAGAUGUUAAUCAUACCUACUUAAUUGGGUUGUUUAAGGGUCAUGUUAGAUAAAGCAUAUAAAGCACUUAGAACAGUGCUUGGCAUUAGGAGGUGCUUAGUUAAUUAUAGCCACUAUUUUUAUUACUUUCGAAAUAAUUAAAUAAAAAAUUUUAGUUCCUUUUAAUCUUAAUCCAAAUUUCACAUAUUUUACUGGGUAUAAUCUCAAUACACAUAUACUUUUAAAUAUGUAUUUUUUCAUUGAUCUGCAUAAAUAUUUUUUCCUGUGCCUACAUAGGCUUCCUGAGAAUUUCUUCUAAUCGCUCCAUGACGUUCUUGUACUGUCAUGCACUGUGGUACUCUAAGAACGCCACGACUUUCAUACUAUUAUAACCAGCC
ensembl:lncRNA